AACGAACGCUGGCGGCAUGCCUAACACAUGCAAGUCGAACGAUACCUUCGUUUCUAGUGGCGCACGGGUGAGUAACGCGUGGGAAUCUGCCCUUCGUUUGGGAAUCACUGAGAGAAAUUUCAGCUAAUACCUUAUAAUGUCUUCGUACCACAGUUUUCUCGCCGAGGGAUGUGCCCGCGUAGGAUUAGGUAGUUGGUGGGGUAAUGGCCUACCAAGCCGACGAUCCUUAGCUGGUCGGAGAGGAUGAUCAGCCACACUGGCACUGAGACACGGCCCAGACUGCGACGGGAGGGAGCAGUGGGGAAUAUUGGACAAUGGGGGAAAGCCUGAUCCAGCAAUGCGGGGUGAGUGAGGAAGGCCUUAGGGUUGUAAAGCUAUUAUACCCGGGAUGAUAAUGACAGUACCGGGAGAAUAAGCUCCGGCUAACUCCGUG
rnacentral:rRNA from 1 species